GAUGAACGCUAGCUACAGGCUUAACACAUGCAAGUCGAGGGGCAGCAUUAGGUAGCAAUACUGAGAUGGCGACCGGCGCACGGGUGCGUAACGCGUAUCCAACCUUCCCGUUACUCUCGGAUAGCCUUCCGAAAGGGAGAUUAAUCCCCGAUGUUGUCGUUGUUCCGCAUGGUACAUCGACCAAAGAAAUUCGGUAUGGGAUGGGGGUGCGUUCCAUUAGCUUGUUGGCGGGGUAACGGCCCACCAAGGCGACGAUGGAUAGGGGUUCUGAGAGGAAGGUCCCCCACACUGGCACUGAGACACGGGGCCAGACUCCUACGGGAGGCAGCAGUGAGGAAUAUUGGUCAAUUGGGCGGAAGCCUGAACCAGCCAAGUAGCGUGCAGGAUGACGGCCCUACGGGUUGUAAACUGCUUUUGCGGAGGAUAAAACGCCCACGUGUGGGGCCUUGCAGGUAUCCGCGAAUAAGGACCGGCUAAUUCCGUG
rnacentral:rRNA from 1 species